AUGCUUGCUUCGGCAGCACAUAUACUAAAAUUGCAACAAUAUACAGAUUAGCAUGGCCCCUCUGUAAGGAUGACACGCAAAUUCAUGAAGCAUUCCAUAUUUUU